rnacentral:tRNA from 1 species
GGCGGACUAGCGUAAUGGUUAACGCGCCAGUUUCCGGAGCUGGAGAUUCUGGGUUCGAUCCCCAGGCCCGUCG